GAGUUUGAUCCUGGCUCAGGACGAACGCUGGCGGCGUGCUUAACACAUGCAAGUCGAACGAGGCAGCGGCCUUCGGGCCGUUGUCGAGUGGCGAACGGGUGAGUAACACGUGAGAAACCUGCCCCGGAGACCGGGAUAACCAGGGGAAACUCUGGCUAAUACCGGAUGCCCCCGGAUGGCCGCAUGGCCAACCGAGGAAACGCUCCGGUGUUCCGGGAGGGUCUCGCGGCCUAUCAGCUUGUUGGUGGGGUAACGGCCCACCAAGGCAUCGACGGGUAGCUGGUCUGAGAGGACGAUCAGCCACACUGGGACUGAGACACGGCCCAGACUCCUACGGGAGGCAGCAGUGGGGAAUAUUGCGCAAUGGGCGAAAGCCUGACGCAGCAACGCCGCGUGGGGGAUGACGGCCUUCGGGUUGUAAACCCCUUUCAGCAGGGACGAAAAUGACGGUACCUGCAGAAGAAGCCCCGGCCAACUACGUGCCAGCAGCCGCGGUAACACGUAGGGGGCAAGCGUUGUCCGGAUUUAUUGGGCGUAAAGAGCUCGUAGGCAGUUGCGUAAGUCGGAUGUGAAAACUCAGGGCUCAACCCGGAGACGCCAUUCGAUACUGCGCUGACUAGAGUCCGGUAGGGGAGCAUGGAAUUCCUGGUGUAGCGGUGAAAUGCGCAGAUAUCAGGAGGAACACCAGUGGCGAAGGCGGUGCUCUGGGCCGGAACUGACGCUGAGGAGCGAAAGCGUGGGUAGCGAACAGGAUUAGAUACCCUGGUAGUCA
rnacentral:rRNA from 1 species